CCCCGCUUAGCUCAAUGGUAGAGCGACCGGCUGUAGACCGGUAGGUUGGGAGUUCAACUCUCCCAGCGGGGA
rnacentral:tRNA from 1 species